rnacentral:rRNA from 1 species
UACGGAGGGUGCAAGCGUUAUCCGGAUUCACUGGGUUUAAAGGGUGCGUAGGUGGGUCUGUAAGUCAGUGGUGAAAUCCCCGAGCUUAACUUGGGAACUGCCAUUGAUACUAUUUGUCUUGAAUACUUUGGAGGUAAGCGGAAUAUGUCAUGUAGCGGUGAAAUGCUUAGAUAUGACAUAGAACACCAAUUGCGCAGGCAGCUUACUACACAGUAAUUGACACUGAGGCACGAAAGCGUGGGGAUCAAACAGG